AACGAACGCUGGCGGCAGGCUUAACACAUGCAAGUCGAGCGCCCCGCAAGGGGAGCGGCAGACGGGUGAGUAACGCGUGGGAACGUACCCUUUACUACGGAAUAGCCCUGGGAAACUGGAAUUAAUACCGUAUGUGCCCUUCGGGGGAAAGAUUUAUCGGUAAAGGAUCGGCCCGCGUUGGAUUAGCUAGUUGGUGGGGUAAAGGCCUACCAAGGCGACGAUCCAUAGCUGGUCUGAGAGGAUGAUCAGCCACAUUGGGACUGAGACACGGCCCAAACUCCUACGGGAGGCAGCAGUGGGGAAUAUUGGACAAUGGGCGCAAGCCUGAUCCAGCCAUGCCGCGUGAGUGAUGAAGGCCUUAGGGUUGUAAAGCUCUUUCACCGAUGAAGAUAAUGACGGUAGUCGGAGAAGAAGCCCCGGCUAACUUCGUGCCAGCAGCCGCCGCGG
rnacentral:rRNA from 1 species